UGGGGGAUAUUGCACAAUGGGCGAAAGCCUGAUGCAGCGACGCCGCGUGGGGGAUGAAGGCCUUCGGGUUGUAAACUUCUUUUGCUCUGAACAAGGCGCACCAUGGGGUGUGUUGAGUGUAGGGGUUGAUUAGCGCCGGCUAACUACGUGCCAGCAGCCGCGGUAAUACGUAGGGCGCGAGCGUUGUCCGGAAUUAUUGGGCGUAAAGGGCUUGGAGGUGGCUGGUUGCGUCUGUCGUGAAAGCUCAUGGCUUAACUGUGGGUUUGCGGUGGGUACGGGCUGGCUUGAGUGCAGUAGGGGAGGCUGGAAUUCCUGGUGUAGCGGUGGAAUGCGCAGAUAUCAGGAGGAAUACCGGUGGCGAAGGCGGGUCUCUGGGCUGUUACUGACACUGAGGAGCGAAAGCAUGGGGAGCGAACAGG
rnacentral:rRNA from 1 species